UUUGCUCUUCAUUUCAACAUGUCUUUUCCUCUUACUCUUUGUGAUUUUCACUUGAUCCUUUUGAGUUUUGAUUCCAAAGUUCUUAAGAGACAGAGAUCCUAUUGGCUGGUGCAAGACCAUAGCAGUUGUGUGUGUGUGUGUGUGUGAGAGAGAGAGAGAGAGAGAGAGAGAGAGAGAGAGAGAGAGAGAGAGGGAGAGGGAGAGGGAGAGGGAGAGCGCUGAGUCACUGUCUCCCAUUUCUGGCUUUGCUUCUCACAUCCACAACCCAUGUGCUCUACUUCCAUUUUUUCCUCUCAUUCCUGUUCCAAGCACAUCUGAAGAUUUUAUUUUCUCUAGCUUGGCUUUUCCCUUUGGGGAUGGCUCACAAAGCCUCAGAGCUUCUGAACGCACUCUGACGUGA
rnacentral:lncRNA from 1 species